AAAAAAAACACUAAAAAUUUAACAAUUGAAUUUUGGGUCAAUUUCAAUGGGUAUAUAAACUAAACCCCCUUGUUCAGUAGUAGUCUCUUCAGCUCCCUCAGCAUCAGCUCAAGCUUUGGCCAAUGGAUUACCUAAAAACAGUAAUUCCUUCUAAUCUCUUCGCCGAACGUGGCACCAAUAUUGUCGUCAUCAAUCCAGGUUCGGCGAAUAUCAGAAUUGGAUUGGCUCAACAGGAUACUCCAUUCAAUAUACCUCAUUGUAUUUCUCGCCGUACUACUCAAUUACCUAAACGAAAUGUUCAAGAUCAAAUGCUGAAUUCUCAGGUUACAACUGCACAACAUAUGGAGCGGGAAAGAGCGUAUGACAUUAUUGCGUCGUUAUUGAGAAUUCCAUUUUUGGGUGAGGAGAUAGCUAACAGUUCUUACGCACGCAAGGAAGUGGUUAUUGGAGCUACGGAAGCUCAAUUUUAUCAGAUGGGGCGUGUAGACACGGAUCCUCCGCAAAAUAACAUGAAAGAGCCUGUGUUCUCUUGGGCUGAUGUUUUUGAGAAAAAUGUCCCUCCUCCUUCAGUAACAGCAGUAGAAGAUGCACCCAACGAGGGUGAUACCAGUGAGUCCCCAACUCUGAAGGAAAGCAAGAUUAAGGUUGAACCUAAUUCCAGAGAACGCAAAUAUAGAGAGUACAUAUGUGGGGAGGAAGCUCUAAGAAUAUCCCCAACUGAACCAUAUUGCUUGCGUCGUCCUAUACGCCGAGGUCAUCUGAAUGUAUCUCAGCAUUAUUCGACGCAGCAGGUUCUUGAAGAUCUGCAUACCAUCUGGGAUUGGAUUUUGGUUGAGAAAUUGCAUAUUCCCCAUCGUGAAAGAAACAUGUAUUCUGCAAUCCUUGUUAUUCCAGAGACAUUUGACAAUCGUGAAAUUAAAGAAAUGCUAUCCAUCGUGUUGCACGACUUACGCUUCGGUUCAGCAGUAGUCCACCAGGAAGGUCUUGCUGCAGCUUUUGGAAAUGGUUUAUCAACAGCAUGCAUUGUCAACAUGGGAGCUCAAGUGACAUCUGUUAUCUGUGUUGAGGAUGGAGUGGCUCUACCCACAACACAUAUAUCUUUACGUUUUGGUGGAGAGGAUAUAUCAAGAUGCCUUCUUUGGACUCAGAGGCAUCAUCAAACAUGGCCACCGAUUCGAACUGAUGCCCUGUCAAAGCCUGUAGAUUUGCUGAUGCUUAACAGACUUAAAGAGUCCUACUGUCAGAUCAAAGAGGGGGAAGUGGAAGCUGUUGCCAUGGUACAUUCAUAUGAAGAUGGAAUGCCACCUGGAUCUCAUAAGACAAGGCUGACUGCUCUUAAUGUUCCCCCAAUGGGUUUAUUUUACCCAAUGCUUUUGGUUCCAGACGUUUAUCCUCCGCCACCCCGCACUUGGUUGAAAGAUUGUGAUGAUAUGCUUGAGGACACUUGGCACAUGGACUUUUCUGGUGGUGGUGCAUAUCCAAUGUGGGAGAGCUACCCAGUUUACCAAACAAAGCCAAAGAAAGAAGAUGAUAUUGGUCUUGAUAUUGGGCUUGCUGAAGCUAUUACAAAGAGCAUUCUUGCGACGGGGCGUAUUGACCUACAGAGGAAGUUAUUUUGCAGCAUGCAAUUGAUUGGUGGAGCUGCAUCAGUUUAUGGUCUCAUUCCAGCUGUGGAGGAAAGAGUUUUACAUGCAAUUCCUUCACAUGAAGCAAUUGACACUGUGGAGGUUUUGCAAUCGAGAACAAAUCCAGCAUUUGUAUCAUGGAAAGGCGGAGCAAUCCUUGGAAUUCUCGAUAUUAGUAGGGAAGCCUGGAUUCAUCGAGAGGACUGGAUUAGAAAUGGGAUUCACAUUGGCAGUGGUAGAAAAUACAAGGAUUCAUAUUAUCUUCAAGCACAAGCAAUGUGCUAUAUGAAUUUAUAAGAGAAUUGUUCAAGAUAGAAGGGGGCUCUUGGCGUUACUGAUAAAGUUGCUGACAUGUGGCUAGAGGUCAUGGGUUCAAGCCGUGAUGACAAUCUUUUGCAGAAAUGCAAGCUUUCGGAGACUGGGGCUUACUAGCUUAUCUUGAAGACAAAGGAACCGAAAGCCUCCUUCCUCCCUCCCAACUCAUUUGAUUAGCGCUUUCAUCCAUCUUAUUGAGGAUAUCGACAGUUUUCAAACCUGAAAAUCAGCCAAAAAUUAUUGCUGAGCAAGGCCAGUCUGAAGUACAUUCUAGGCAAAACUUAGUCACAGUAUAGGGUUAAAUAUUUAAUCUUGGUAUUCAAUAUUUUUUUCCAUGAUCAAAUGUCAAUUCAAUUGGAUACCAAUUUGGUUAGUGAUUCAAUUCCUAUUAGUUGCACAUGCCAAUUAUUUUCCAUCUAAA